GAGUUUGAUCCUGGCUCAGAUUGAACGCUGGCGGCAUGCCUUACACAUGCAAGUCGAACGGCAGCACGGGAGCUUGCUCCUGGUGGCGAGUGGCGAACGGGUGAGUAAUGCAUCGGAACGUAUCCUGGAGCGGGGGAUAACGUAGCGAAAGUUACGCUAAUACCGCAUAUUCUGUGAGCAGGAAAGCGGGGGACCUUCGGGCCUCGCGCUCUUGGAGCGGCCGAUGUCGGAUUAGCUAGUUGGUGAGGUAAAGGCUCACCAAGGCGACGAUCCGUAGCAGGUCUGAGAGGAUGAUCUGCCACACUGGAACUGAGACACGGUCCAGACUCCUACGGGAGGCAGCAGUGGGGAAUUUUGGACAAUGGGGGCAACCCUGAUCCAGCCAUGCCGCGUGAGUGAAGAAGGCCUCGGUUGUAAGG
rnacentral:rRNA from 1 species